rnacentral:rRNA from 1 species
AUGGAAAGUGUUCAAUUAGAACACGAAAACUUGACUCAAUUGGUCUUAGUUAGUCUUCGGGACGGAGUGGAAAAAGGGCGGAGACUCUCGAACGAGGAAAAGGAUCCCUUCGAAAGAAUUGACCGAGGAGCCAUAUGA